rnacentral:tRNA from 1 species
GCGCUCGUGGCUCAGUGGAUAGAGUAUCUGACUUCGGAUCAGAGGGUCGGGGGUUCAAAUCCUCCCGAGCGCGCCA